GACGAACGCUGGCGGCGUGCUUAACACAUGCAAGUCGAACGGAAAGGCCCUGCUUUUGUGCGGUGCUCGAGUGGCGAACGGGUGAGUAACACGUGAGUAACCUGCCCUUGACUUUCGGAUAACUUCAGGAAACUGGGGCUAAUAUCGGAUAGGAGCUCCUGUUGCAUGGUGGGCGUUGGAACGUUUCGGCGGUUGGGGAUGGACGCGCGGCUUAUCAGCUAGUUGGUGGGGUAGUGGCUUACCAAGGGUUUGACGGGUAGCCGGCCUGGGAGGGUGACCGGCGACAUUGGGACUGAGAGACGGCCCAGACGCGUACGGGGGGCAGCAGUGGGGAGUAUUGCACAGUGGGCGGAAGCCUGAUACAGCGACGCCGCGUGCGGGAUGACGGCCUUCGGGUUGUAAACCGCUUUCGCCUGUGACGAAGCGUGAGUGACGGUAAUGGGUAAAGAAGCACCGGCUAACUACGUG
rnacentral:rRNA from 1 species